UACGUAGGGUGCAAGCGUUGUCCGGAAUUAUUGGGCGUAAAGGGCUCGUAGGCGGUCCAUCGCGUCGGGAGUGAAAAGCUGGGGCUUAACCCCAGUCCUGCUUCCGAUACGGGUGGACUAGAGGUAGGUAGGGGAGAUCGGAAUUCCUGGUGUGAGACGGUGGAAAUACGGCAGAUAUCAGGAAGAACACCGGUGGCGAAGGCGGCUCUCUGGGCCUUACCUGACGCUGAGGAGCGAAAGCGUGGGGAGCGAACAGG
rnacentral:rRNA from 1 species